rnacentral:rRNA from 1 species
CCUACGGGAGGCAGCAGUGGGGAAUUUUGGACAAUGGGCGCAAGCCUGAUCCAGCAAUGCCGCGUGCAGGAUGAAGGCCUUCGGGUUGUAAACUGCUUUUGUACGGAGCGAAACGGUCUGCUUUAAUACAGUGGGCUAAUGACGGUACCGUAAGAAUAAGCACCGGCUAACUACGUGCCAGCAGCCGCGGUAAUACGUAGGGUGCAAGCGUUAAUCGGAAUUACUGGGCGUAAAGCGUGCGCAGGCGGUUAUAUAAGACAGAUGUGAAAUCCCCGGGCUCAACCUGGGACCUGCAUUUGUGACUGUAUAGCUAGAGUACGGUAGAGGGGGAUGGAAUUCCGCGUGUAGCAGUGAAAUGCGUAGAUAUGCGGAGGAACACCGAUGGCGAAGGCAAUCCCCUGGACCUGUACUGACGCUCAUGCACGAAAGCGUGGGGAGCAAACAGGAUUAGAUACCCUGGUAGUCCACGCCCUAAACGAUGUCAACUGGUUGUUGGGUCUUCACUGACUCAGUAACGAAGCAACGCGUGAAGUUGACCGCCGNGGGAGGUACGGCCGCGAGUAGUAACGUACGAACGAGUAGUAGACGUGAGAGAGCGACGACGGACGACGACGGGAGGGAGGAG